rnacentral:rRNA from 1 species
UUCCAGCUCCAAUAGCGUAUGUUAAAGUUGUUGCAGUUAAAAAGCUCGUAGUUGGAUUUUGGAGUUUGACAAGUGGUCUGCCUAAGGUGUGUACUGCUUGUCGGCUCUUCUUUUCUGGGGACCACGCUGCUCUUUAUUGAGGGGUGCUGGGAAUCAGAUCUUUUACUUUGAAAAAAUUAGAGUGUUCAAAGCAGGCCCACGCAUUGAAUACAUUAGCAUGGAAUAAUGGAAUAGGACUUUGGUCUUAUUUUGUUGGUUUCUAAGGCCGAGGUAAUGAUUAAUAGGGAUAGUUGGGGGCGUUUAUAUUCCAUUGUCAGAGGUGAAAUUCUUGGAUUUAUGGAAGAUAAACUACUGCGAAAGCAUUCGCCAAGGAUGUUUUCAUUG